UACGUAGGGUGCAAGCGUUAUCCGGAAUUAUUGGGCGUAAAGAGCUCGUAGGCGGUUUGUCGCGUCUGCUGUGAAAACUGGGGGCUCAACCCCCAGCCUGCAGUGGGUACGGGCAGACUAGAGUGCGGUAGGGGAGAUUGGAAUUCCUGGUGUAGCGGUGGAAUGCGCAGAUAUCAGGAGGAACACCGAUGGCGAAGGCAGAUCUCUGGGCCGUUGCUGACACUGAGGCGCGACAGCGUGGGGAGCAACAGG
rnacentral:rRNA from 1 species